CAAUAGCGUAUAUUAAAGUUGUUGCAGUUAAAAAGCUCGUAGUUGGAUUUCUGGCUGGAGCGACCGGUCACACACUCUGUGUGUGAACUUGCGUUGUCUCUGGCCAUCCUUGGGAAGAUCCUGUUUGGCAUUAAGUUGUCGGGCAGGGGAUACCCAUCGUUUACUGUGAAAAAAUUAGAGUGUUUAAAGCAGGCUUAUGCCGUUGAAUAUAUUAGCAUGGAAUAAUAAGAUAGGACUUCGGAACUAUUUUGUUGGUUUGCGUUACGAAGUAAUGAUUAAUAGGGACAGUUGGGGGUAUUCGUAUUUCGUUGUCAGAGGUGAAAUUCUUGGAUUUCCGAAAGACGAACUACUGCGAAAGCAUUUACCAAGGAUGUUUUCAUUAA
rnacentral:rRNA from 1 species